rnacentral:rRNA from 1 species
UACGGAAGGCAGUAGUGGGGAAUAUUGCACAAUGGGCGCAAGCCUGAUGCAGCCAUGCCGCGUGUAUGAAGAAGGCCUUCGGGUUGUAAAGUACUUUCAGUCGUGAGGAAGGUGUUAAGGUUAAUAACCUUAGCAAUUGACGUUAGCGACAGAAGAAGCACCGGCUAACUCCGUGCCAGCAGCCGCGGUAAUACGGAGGGUGCGAGCGUUAAUCGGAAUUACUGGGCGUAAAGGGCACGCAGGCGGUUAAUUAAGUUGGAUGUGAAAUCCCCGGGCUUAACCUGGGAAUGGCAUUCAAGACUGGUUAGCUAGAGUCUUGUAGAGGGGGUAGAAUUCCAUGUGUAGCGGUGAAAUGCGUAGAGAUGUGGAGGAAUACCGGUGGCGAAGGCGGCCCCUGGGACAAAGACUGACGCUCAUGUGCGAAAGCGUGGGGAGCAAACAGGGAUUAGAUACC